UACGUAGGGUGCGAGCGUUAAUCGGAAUUACUGGGCGUAAAGCGUGCGUAGGCGGCGAUGCAAGACAGAUGUGAAAUCCCCGGGCUCAACCCGGGAACUGCGUCCGAUACUGGAAGGCUUGAAUCCGGGAGAGGGAUGCGGAAUUCCAGGUGUAGCGGUGAAAUGCGUAGAUAUCUGGAGGAACACCGGUGGCGAAGGCGGCAUCCUGGACCGGUAUUGACGCUGAGGCGCGAAAGCCAGGGGAGCAAACGGG
rnacentral:rRNA from 1 species